rnacentral:rRNA from 1 species
CCUACGGGGGGCUGCAGUCGAGAAUCAUUCACAAUGGGGGAAACCCUGAUGGGGCGACGCCGCGUGGGGGAAUGAAGGUCUGCGGAUUGUAAACCCCUGUCAUGUGGGAGCAAAGUAAAAAGAUAGUACCACAAGAGGAAGAGACGGCUAACUCUGAGCCAGCAGCCGCGGUAAGACAGAGGUCUCAAGCGUUGUGCGGAAUCACUGGGCGUAAAGGGUUCGGAGGCUGUUUCGUAAGUCGUGUGUGAAAGGCGCGGGCUCAACCCGCGGACGGCACAUGAUACUGCGAGACUAGCGUACUGGAGGGGGAACCGGAAUUCUCGGUGUAGCCGU